AUGAAGCACCAAUCCCUGUCAUUAUCUUUAAGCUUUUACUGAUCUGCCCGGACGGUCUGGUCUGAUCUGGUCUGGCUUUGUUUAUGAACGAGAGGUCGAGAGUUACUCUUUAUAAACCAUCACUGAAAAGGGUGUAAUGUUCUUUUUGUUGUGGCUCUGGACAUUCUCUCUUUAGUUAAAAGUGACUUCUUUUGGGUCUCCUUCGUGGCCUACAUUUUCCUUCUCAAAUUGGGUAACCUUUCCUAAUUCAUGCCUUAAAAGGGCUUUAUUCAUUGAGAUUCUUGACAAAUGAGACUAGUUGAUGGAAGGCCUAAUCAUCGUUAUCAUAAGUUGCGAACCUAGAAAUGAGAAAUAAUUGAUUGAAGUAGUAUUCUAAGUAAAGCAUUUUUGUCUAGUAGGCAAGUACACCAGCUCCCUGUGUCUUUUAUUUGGCAAUUAUGAAAAGUUCAUCUUGCCUUGGUUGGAAUGAUGAUUAGAAAAAGAGUAACUAAGGGUUAUCCAUAUUGCAUGAACUCAUAGAGAUAAACUGGAUUUGGAUUUUUAAUGGGCUUGCCAAUUGAGGUAUAUAUAUCGAUAUAUCUAUAGAGAGAGAGAACAUGACCCAUCCCAUUCUGGGGAUGGUCCUCUCUUCUUUAUCCCUGGCCAUAUCUUUUAGUUAACUGGUUUUUCAAAUGAAGAACCAGUGGCAAUUUCAUCAAAAUGAAAGAGCAAACAAGAAAUACAAGCAUGUAUUGUUUUAUGUGCAGGUGUAAAUGGUAGCUUAGGGAUUGCAUAUAGAGAGCACGAGUCACAACGGCGAUUUGUCUGGUUGUGUUCAUCCUCCAUGAUUAUGCAUAUUAUAAUUCAAAAAUUGAACCAGGUUUGGCUGUUGGCCACUUCAUAAAUGGGUUGGUGGCCAUGGGCAUGGACCCCCUCUUGUCCUCCCAAUACAACAAAAGGGGCUCCAACAGCUCCAUCCAUCCAUCUCUAGACCAAGAGAGCGGCUCACCUGAGCUAUCAGCAACAGUCGCAAGUGCAUAAACUAUUGCAUUUAUGUGCCUCACGGCUCUAGAAAUAAAGGGGAGCUUGACAAAUAAGUGAGAGAGAUUGGGGGACAAUGCCAUUCUCACUAACAUCAAUUCCUGCUUUGUGUCUUUUCAGAACUGAAAGGUUUUUUGGUUUGAUUGCAAUAAUAAGCCUUCAAAGGUUGGGAGAAAUGUUAUGGGGCGGUGGAGGGGAGCCUUUCAACUUUCGAGUUUAACGAUGAAAGUGUCUUUCUCUAUCAUGGAUCAAUCAUCUCUUCCUCCACAUGCAUUGCUAGGUUUCCUGUAGUUCGUGCACUUAUCCCCCUCUGUGCAUGAGCUUACUGCCGAAUUCCCUACAGAGACGCUUAUCCAUGGCUCAUAGGCCCAUGACUAGUGCAGGAUUGAUUAUUCGUGGGCAUUGGGAGGGGAUCCAAUGUUGACAGCACUUUGCAAGGACAAUCAACACACCUUCAUGGGCUUCUUCGUUUUCAUCCCAUAAUUGUCAUUGUUGAGACUGUAUGCACAGAAACUCACUUUUUCUAAUCAUUUUAUUUUAUUAAUGAAAUAUUGAUUAUGAA